AGAGUUUGAUUCUGGCUCAGGAUGAACGCUAGCGGCAGGCUUAACACAUGCAAGUCGAGGGGUAUAUUUCUUCGGAGAUAGAGACCGGCGCACGGGUGCGUAACGCGUAUGCAAUCUACCUUUUACAGAGGGAUAGCCCAGAGAAAUUUGGAUUAAUACCUCAUAGUAUAUCACAAUCGCAUGAUUGAGUUAUUAAAGUCACAACGGUAAAAGAUGAGCAUGCGUCCCAUUAGCUAGUUGGUAAGGUAACGGCUUACCAAGGCUACGAUGGGUAGGGGUCCUGAGAGGGAGAUCCCCCACACUGGUACUGAGACACGGACCAGACUCCUACGGGAGGCAGCAGUGAGGAAUAUUGGACAAUGGGCGCAAGCCUGAUCCAGCCAUGCCGCGUGCAGGAUGACGGUCCUAUGGAUUGUAAACUGCUUUUAUACGAGAAGAAACACUCCGWCGUGUCGGAGCUGACGGUAUCGUAAGAAUAAGAUCGGC
rnacentral:rRNA from 1 species